GCGUUUAUUAGAACAAAACUAAUGGGCAUUGCCCUUGUUUGGUGACUGUGAAUAACUUAGUGGAUCGCACAGUCCAGCACUGGCGAUGUAUCUUUCAAGUGUCUGCCUUAUCAACUGUCGAUGGUAGUUUAUAAGACUACCAUGGUUGUAACGGGUAACGGAGAAUCAGGGUUCGACUCCGGAGAGGGAGCCUGAGAAAUGGCUACCACAUCCAAGGAAGGCAGCAGGCGCGCAAAUUACCCACUCUCAGUACGAGGAGGUAGUGACGAAAAAUAACAAGACAGUUCUCUUUGAGGUCUGUCAUUGGAAUGGGUACAAUCUAAACCCUUUAACGAGGAUCAAUUGGAGGGCAAGUCUGGUGCCAGCAGCCGCGGUAAUUCCAGCUCCAAUAGCGUAUAUUAAAGUUGUUGCGGUUAAAAAGCUCGUAGUUGGAUCUGCGCCCUUGUGGCUGGGUGUACCUAUUCGGUCAUACUCGGUCACAGGGCUACCUCGCUGGUUUUCCCCUGGUCCUCUUCAUUGAGUGCCUUGGGUGGCUAGCAAGUUUACUUUGAAAAAAUUAGAGUGCUCAAAGCAGGC
rnacentral:rRNA from 1 species